AUUGAACGCUGGCGGCAUGCUUUACACAUGCAAGUCGAACGGUAACAGGCCGCAAGGUGCUGACGAGUGGCGAACGGGUGAGUAAUGCAUCGGAACGUGCCCAGUCGUGGGGGAUAACGCAGCGAAAGCUGCGCUAAUACCGCAUACGAUCUAUGGAUGAAAGCGGGGGACCGUAAGGCCUCGCGCGAUUGGAGCGGCCGAUGUCAGAUUAGGUAGUUGGUGGGGUAAAGGCUCACCAAGCCAACGAUCUGUAGCUGGUCUGAGAGGACGACCAGCCACACUGGGACUGAGACACGGCCCAGACUCCUACGGGAGGCAGCAGUGGGGAAUUUUGGACAAUGGGCGCAAGCCUGAUCCAGCAAUGCCGCGUGCAGGAAGAAGGCCUUCGGGUUGUAAACUGCUUUUGUACGGAACGAAACGGCUCUGGUUAAUACCCGGGGCUAAUGACGGUACCGUAAGAAUAAGCACCGGCUAACUACGUGCCAGCCGCCGCAGUAA
rnacentral:rRNA from 1 species